UGCGUGAUUAUUAUUGUGUUCUUAGAUGUUGAUUAGUAUUAGUUUUUAUUCAGGUUUUAGAUUUAGUGGUUAGUCGUUGGCUUAGGCCAAUAUUAGAGUUAAAAUAUUGGUGGGGUUAUAAAUGCGGUGCCAGCUGUAGCGGUUAGACCGGAACCUCUAUGUAUAAUUAUUUUGUGUUAGUGGAGUGUUUAGGAUUGGAGGAUUGUUGUAUAUACGUUUGUGUCUGAGCUCUUGAUUGGGUGAAAUCUUUAUGUUAUUGGAUGAUUAGUAUUAUAGCGAUGUGUUCUUUCAAUGCUCUAAAUCCUUGUUUUAAAGUCGGAUUAGAUACCCGGUUAUUUUGGAGUUAAACUAUAUUGGGUAGUAGUGUUUAUUAUAUGAAACUUAAAGAAUCAGGCGGUAUUUUAAGCUAACCAGGGGAAUCCGUCUCUUGAUUUGAUGGUGCGCAUACUAUUUCACUCAUGGCUUGUAUUAUUUGACAGUUUGUAUACCUCCGUCUUAAUAUUUUCCCCCCUAGGGUUGGUUUUUAGGAAAUGAUUAGUGUAGUAUUAUUAAUACCAAGACGACAGGUCGAGGUGCAGCCUAUGCUUGAGGGUUUAUAUGGCGGAUUACAUUGCUAUUAGUGCUUGUUCGGAUAAAUUGAUAUUGUAAUAUAUUUUUGAAGUUGGAUUUGGAAGUAAGGGUGAUUUUUUAAUUUGAUUUCCUGAAUUUUGCUCUGAGAUGUGCACUAAUCGCCCGUCACUCUCGUUUAUAAGAUGAGAAAAGUCGUAACAUAGUAGGCGUACUGGAAAGUGCGCCUGGGCUAUUAUAGUUAGUUGAAUAUGUUU
rnacentral:rRNA from 1 species